CCUACGGGCGGCUGCAGUGGGGAAUAUUGGACAAUGGGGGCAACCCUGAUCCAGCCAUGCCGCGUGUGUGAAGAAGGCCCUCGGGUUGUAAAGCACUUUCAGUGAGGAAGAACGCCUGGUGGUUAAUACCCAUCAGGAAAGACAUCACUCACAGAAGAAGCACCGGCUAACUCCGUGCCAGCAGCCGCGGUAAUACGGAGGGUGCGAGCGUUAAUCGGAAUUACUGGGCGUAAAGCGCGCGUAGGUGGCUUGAUAAGCCGGUUGUGAAGGCCCCGGGCUCAACCUGGGAACGGCAUCCGGAACUGUCAAGCUAGAGUGCAGGAGAGGAAGGUAGAAUUCCCGGUGUAGCGGUGAAAUGCGUAGAGAUCGGGAGGAAUACCAGUGGCGAAGGCGGCCUUCUGGACUGACACUGACACUGAGGUGCGAAAGCGUGGGUAGCAAACAGGAUUAGAUACCCUGGCAGUC
rnacentral:rRNA from 1 species